rnacentral:rRNA from 1 species
GCUGAGGACGACCGGUCCGCCCACUGGGUGUGUAUCUGGCUCGGCUUGGGCAUCUUCUCGGAGAACGUCACUGCACUUGACUGUGUGGUGCGGUAUCCGAGACCUUUACUUUGAGAAAAUUAGAGUGUUUCAAGCAGGCACACGCCUUGAAUACAUUAGCAUGGAAUAAUAAUUUUGGACUUCGGUUCUAUUUUGUUGGUUUCUAGAGCUGAAGUA